CUGGAAUGGUGUUUACCGGCCAAGUCUCCUGAUUAGACGCGAAGAGCAGGUGGCAAUAGGAGGCCGGAAAGAACUUUCGCGCAAACUAGAAGGGCGAGUCGAGGACUGAGGGAACGGCAGUUUGUUGCAUAAGGACUGGAACUGCCUUGGAUAAUAACCAACACUUAAAUUGGAGAAGAAAAAUGAAACUUCAAGGAUUUCAUGGGACACACAAUGGCAAUUGAAGCUUAUUUACCAUAACACCUGGACCACUUCGAGGGAUUGAAAUGGAUGAUAAGAAACCAUAUUGUAUUAUUCAGAUAUAGUUGUGUGGAAGAACAUGAAUUGAAAGAACAAAGCGUGCAAUGAUGAAUGACAAAAACAAAAUUGAAUAUAAGAUUGGCUUUUUCCACUUCAGAUUCAAAAGCAAACAGCAGAGAAAUGGACAAAGGCAGUUCUUCCAAACCAGGCACAAAAAAGAUUUCCCAUUAAAUGGGAAUGAGAUAAAAUGAAAACUGAUCUAGAGGAAGAAAGCUUGCAAACUUGUAUGAACACCUUGAAGUGCUAGAACCUGCAGCCAGUUUCUUGGAGAAACUGAUUAUAUAAUCCAGAUUGCUAUAUUGGAGCAUUUAUUGAGGAUAAAUAUUAUCUCUUUCCAUCUGAGAUCUUUUCCUUGGACACAGUUUCUGUAAACUCAUAGAAUCAUCUACUGUAAUGUCCUUCCUGUUAAAGACUACUUCAGCUUUAAUUGUAACAAUACAAGAGCAACCAACAGAUUUAAACUUAAUGUUAACCGCUUUAAUCUAGAUUGCAGAAAAUAUGACUUCUGUAACAGAAUCAUCAGUGCUUGGAAUACUUUACCUGACUCUGUGGUCUCUUCCCAUAAUCCUAAAAGCUUCAACCAAAAACUUUCUACUAUUGACCUUACCCCAUUCCUAAGAGGACCAUAAGGGGCGUGCAUAAGCGCACAAACGUGCCUACCGUUCCUGUCCUAUUGUUUUUGUUUUUGUUUUUGUUUUCUUUUCUUUUCUUCUUCCUAUAUAUAUAUAUUGAUGCUUAUACCUCCUAAUAUUUACUCAUAUAUAUGUUUAUAUACUAUAUAAUCCUUUUUAUAUGAUGUUGUG